UUAGCUGAGGAGGAUAAAAGGCUUGUUGCAUACUUGGAAGACAUGUACGAGGACUCGAAAGGGAACAAGAUGGUUAUGGUACGAUGGUUUCACAAAAUUGAUGAGGUUGGUAUUGCUUUGCCUCACAAUUUUAAUGACAGAGAGCUUUUCUUUUCUCUUUGUCGUGAAAAUCUCAGUAUUGAAUGCGUAGAUGGAAUGGCCACCAUCCUCAGUCCCCAGCAUUUUGAGAAGUUCCUAAAUGAGGCGUCACACACUAUGUUGGAUCCAUUUGUUUG
rnacentral:misc_RNA from 1 species